CUUGUAUAAAAAUCACCAAUCCAAUACGAAAAAAAAAGAAAAUUCAUUUCAUUCGUUAUCAGUAUCACGACCGAGAACUUUUUUUUCGAUUACCUCAAAGUAUAAAUUUACAUGUCAAUUAAAAAUCAAUGGAAAAAUAUAUUUUUCUUUUAUAAAUAAACAUAAAAGAGAGAGAGAGAGAGAGAAAAAAAUACCGCGUAAAUCGCGAAAUGCGUAUUGUGUCUCGAAUAAACGUCAUAAACGGGAUCAUAAAAUUCCCCUACUACCAACUUUCUCAUCGCGACGCAAGAAAUAACGAAUUACGUGACCCGUCCGUGUCUCGAGAUUAAUAAUUGAUAACGCCUUCUUUUUUUUCUCUUUCUUUUUUUUUCCUCCUUUCACGGAAUCAAAUGGAAAUUUCUACGUCGCGCGCACAACAGGCAUCGAGACAUCAUUUUUCCAGGCAAUUAUCCACGGUUUUUGCGGCCACGUCUAGACGAUGCCUCGUUCGUGUCCGCGUAGCGACGAAGAAACGAAAUGGCAGGUAACGAGGCGCCUGACAUCCGUCGAAGAACUGGCGACCGACGAUAACGGUGCUCCAGAAACGAUAACCAGUUCGAGCCGUCUGGUUCGGCGACCAAUAAGGAUCAUUGACUCCCUGUUAUCGCGCCGCAAUUCCCAGAUGUCUAAUACCCGGCGAGAGAGUAUUUUUCGCAAAUAUUUUGACCAAACCGAGGACCGAGAAUGGGCAAGAUAUCGAAGAUUUCUACCAUGUUAUUUCUUGGAAAUAAAGGAGGCUGUCCUCGCGUUCCGCAUCUUUCGCGAGGCUUUAAUGACCACCACGUGGUGCUAUCAUCGGAGGUAGUACGUGAGAAACACGGACGAGUAUCAUCACGCGGUGACUCGCUAAAAUUAUCCGUGCUUCUCUUUCGAGGCAACACCGUAGGAUGAGAAUUAAGCCGGCGCAAAAAACCAAGGCGACCGUGAAGACCAGCGACGGUCUCUUCGGUUUCUCAAAGGACUUCUCCUGGGAAGAGAAAUCAAGAAUAUUUGAAAUACAGCUCGAGUGGUGCUAGAAAGUUUGGCCGUGUUUGGUCGUGUUUGUAAAUCAAUCGUGUACGAAUUCGAAGUUUUUAAAACUGUGCACGCGAAAUUUAUUAUCUAUGCAGAUUAUUUUUUCUUAUGCUCAGCACAACAUGUCAAAAAAUUCGCUGCCCAAAUGGAAUUCGUGGUAUCAAUUUAAUCAAACUCGAAGAGGAAAACAGUAUAAUGAAGUAUCAUAAAAACAACAUUCUCCUCUCUUCGAAGUACUUAUUACAGUCUCUAAAAUUAAAUUUUCAAAAAGACCAAUACCUUAAUUCACGUUUUUCGAUUCCCAAAAAAUCUUCCCCCAUUACUUUUAUCCCCAAACUUUCAAAAAACGUUUCCUCUUUCCUGCUCAUUCACUUUUUCAAAAAAUGAAUAAACCCAAAAAUUACGUUCAAUGCUCAUGCGAUUCAAAUCCAAUCCCUCGACUCUCAUUCAAACUCGUGCAUUCGUGCAAGAACGAAAGCGGAAGUAACGAAAGGGGGGAUGCGAAGAAAUCGACAGCGAUGCACUACCGUCUUCCUGGACCCUUUAAUGAAGCCUCUUACGUACUAAGAAUGCUACCAGACGCGUUUUCGCGCAUCGACGAACGCGUUAAACACUGCCAGCUGCCGGUGCACACAGUUUCUUAUUCCUCCUCCUCCUCCUCUUCCUCCCCCCGCGUCAUUGUUCAUCCUCCUCGUACAGAGGCCACUCGUUUUUGGUCGAUCGCCCGUGGCGGAUUUUUGAAUCGUUCCGAACUGGUGGAGGAGAGGUAAUACUCCAUCCAUACUGCAUCCUUUGCAUCCUCUCGAUUUGCAUCGUACCAAUGCACGAACGCCUUCUUGCACGGUGAUUAUUCCGUUCUGUUCAACGAUCUCAACGGUUUCUGGAUCGCUUGCAAGUUCUGGCGAGGUUAAUGGUAAUUGAGAACGGUCGGUUUCCUCUUAUCGCGUUUCUGUUUCGAGCUAGGUUGGAUCGAUCGAUGGUUAGAAAGAAGAUAAGAGAAUGGUGAAUAAUUGUAAUGAUAUUACGGAAGAAUUACAUAAGACAGAUUAUUAAGUGGAAUAUUUUUAAAUGCUGCGAACUCUGUUCUGAACUAGAAAUGAUUCGUUAUGAACCAGUGGGAUAAUUCUCAUCAAGUCAUUUUGCUAUUGUUUAAAAUCCACGUGUCUGUCCGAUUUAAAGAUUAAACUGUUAAUUCUAAUUUGAUAUCUCGCGAUUGUGAUUAUACUUCUGUUUUUUAUAUGUCGUUAAUACACGCGUUACACAUAAUAAAUAUGCUUCAAGAUUAACAUUUCCCCCGAAAAAAAAAAAUCGAUUACUGGAACAUCGAGACGAACACGUUUAAAAUAUUGAAAUUUUGAAGAAGCAAUACCACCUACCAAUUCAAUACAAACCGAGUUUCACCGUACGAAUUCCGCGAACGAAUUCCAUUCAUUCACUGUAUAUCGCGAAACAAAACAGCCGUCUAAGAAGCCGAACCGAAAAUAAUCGUUUCAGGGUGCUUUGACUGGCAGAAAACUUACGACACAUUCUCAGAAAAACGCGGCUGGAACCGUGGCUCGCGCACGUCACGCACAAAAGGCGAACGCGGGAAAUAUAAGCGGCACUUUUUUAUCGGCUCCUGUACACCCGUAUCGCUCUUUGUACACAUUAUUGUUCCGCGUACGAACUCCUCGUGCUUUCAUACGACACGCGUGUACUCGUGUACAAAGCACGGUAGCGAUAUGCAUAUGCGAACGGUGUAUGUUAAUGACGUUCGAAGAGCCACGGUUGCCCGCCGCACCACCACCGUUUUGAAUAAUACCACCGGCUCGCAUCGUGUUUGCUUGAUAGCAGCACGCGUGCAGCCUUGUACAGAUUCGUUCGCCAGUUGUUCGUUCCUUACGCGGAACAAUUUUUCUCUUUUUUCAACGAUCCAGAAUCCGUGAAAUCAAAUUGAAAAAUCGAUUAUAAUAUCAAGAUUAAUAAACUUCUUUUUGAAUGAAAUGAAAUUUUAAGAAUCGAAUCAAAUAUCGAUAUUUAAAUAUUGGCGAAUAUUUUCAAAUAAAUGUUACAGACAGAAAAAAGAUUGUUUCCUUCUGAUUUUGAGAAUCGAUAAAAAGUUUCAAUAGAGAAAUCGAUGAAAAACGUUUUUAAAAAGAUGUCGUUUAACGAUUAACUUUUCCAAUAAUAUCAAAGAAUUCCUUCCACUUUGAUCGAACAAAAAUAUUUGUAAUUUCAAAAGAAGAGGAGAAGCAAAGAGAGAGAGAGGGAGAAAAAUCCACCCUAUUCCACUUCCUCCAUCUUCCACCAACCUUCCAAUCUCCCGGAGUUUGAACGGAAGCGUGCAAGACAUGGAAGAAGCGAGGCCAGUACCGAGCGGCAGCUUCUCUACGUGCAGGAACUCUGAAACGAUCUCGCCGGUUCACGCGAGAUAAUAUUAAUCUCCGGUUUCGUGUCGUGCCACGUCCUGCAGCGUGCAGCCACGAGGAAAGGGAGGAGGGGAAGGGGGGGAGAAGAUCCGUCGGCGAAGGGAAAUAGUGCUGUUGCAUCUAAGGUCGCGGGGUCACGUGCACGUGGCAUGAAGCAUCGCGUGGCGUUCGUGGGAUCGCGAGAAAUUUUUUUUUUUUUCCUUCUCUUGCACCGGUGCACGCACGCACGUGUUUCGAUCCAUCGGUUGCAUCCUCGUGUCUUACGCAACGAUAUCAGAAAAUCAAUCUACUGUAUACAUAUAUAUAUAUAAUAGCGAGUUGAAAAUCACGUCGAAUUACGAAUCGUUUUAAGAUAAAAACUUACGUGAAAAUAUGUAAAACAUUGUUAAAGUUAAAUCUUCUCAACGACUCCUCCCACUUCGAAACGAAAAGAAGAAGAAGAAGAAGAUAAAAAAGGAAGAAACGCGAAGUGUAAGUACUUUACACUUUGCUCGAGUAACGACAACGAACCGUAUCAUUAACCGAGCAACACGUGACGAUCCAAUCUGUCGAAGCACCGCCUAAGUAGAAUAAGAGAUCACCGAUCUGGCAUGUCUGACGUUGAUCGAGCGCGGCGGCCAUCGUAUCGACAAAAUUCGAAGCCGUUAAGACAUUAACAGCGAAAAUUGCCAUUCCACCGUAUAGCAAUCAAACUCGACCGACAGCGCGUAUCCUUAAUCUCGUUCCCGGUACGGAGGAUCGUAAUCGAUCUCGAUCUUAUCAUUCGUUGGCGUGCUGCUCGACGACGACGACGACGACGACGACGACGAGGAAGGAAAUGUGGAGGAAAAAAGAAAAAAGAGGAAAGAGAGGAGGAGAGAAAAUGUAGAAAACGUAUUCCCGAAGACAUCGAUUUCGAUCCGUUUGCAUGGCCGUUGAACAUUAUCAUCUUCCCAGAAUUUAUCCGGCAAGACAUCAUCGUGUAAUUUCCUGAGCGCAGAUUAUAUAGGGUGGCCAGGUCCGAUUCCGAUCUGCCGCCGCGAGACAUGUUUUAACUUGCUAAACCGACUGCACUGGCCCAAUCGUAAUUUUACUUGUUCCAGAGAGGGAAAAAGAGAGAGAGAAAGAGAGAGAGAGAGAUCCGCGGGGACGCUCGUGCGCGAUCCACCAUUUCGAGGACAUCGAACGAGCGAGCUCUCCCUUAAUGGCGUCGCGGAACGAGAACCGCCCUCGAAUUAUCCAGUUCACGAAAUCGCGUGCGAUUCCGUGCCACGCGUGUAAAAUGAACGUUCGAUAAAAAGAAUAUAUAUAUACAUAUACAAAGACAAGAAAAACUGGACAAGAUUUCACGGUGAUCGAGUCAGAUACCGAUCUUUCUCACGUGUCAAAUAAUAUCACAGGUUACAAGUGUUUCUAUAUCCCCUAUUCCCAACUCUAUUUCAAUUAUUUAUUCUAACUCACCAAACUUGCCCAAGAUUCCAAAGAUCUCUCCUCCACGGGAUCACGGAAUUUCACAGCUCAUCUUCGAAAAGAGAAAAAAAAGGUAUCUCUACAUUUCGAAGCGAACGCGGACCCACCACUUACACCUCCUCCACGGGGAGGAGGGUGGAACGUUUCGAUCGGCAAAAACCGAUGGGUUCCGUGUUAUUUAUUGCCACGAUUCUUGGGACAGGGGAGGGAUAGGUGGGGCGCGACGGUGGACAGAGGCAUCGGUGGUGCCCCUCUCUCCCACCCCGGAGAGAUAUCUUAUCUGAGGCGCACAGUGUGCGCCGAGGAACGCGCCGCGUAUACUUACUUACAUCCUCCUCGCCGUGGGCCUGAUACCACUCUUUGAUAACGCGCCGGGGCUAGUAUCUGAUGUACGGGGCAAAAACAAAAGGCGCCGGUCCAGCCCUGCUCCGCGCCAUCCCUCUUGACCGGUCGCAGCCUCGAGCCCGUCCACUGUCUGCGAACUCGAUGCGGUAACGAGGAUCGAUCUCGUUGCGCGGCCGAUUUAUAUCGGCCCCUCGAAUGUUUUAUGUCGCGCGGCCGGCCGCGUACAGCGAGGGAAGACCGCGUGCAGGGCAAGCCAGGGCAGGGCAGGGCAGGGCAGGGCAGGGCAGGGCAGCGUCGCGUUAUCGGAUUCGUUGAGGGCCGCGAGGAACUCUCGAGUAUGCGAGGGGACCACCUCGAGGUAUCGCGGAUCGAUCGCAGGUGCAAGGGGUCUACACGCACGGACUCCGUAUGAAGUUGUACUCGGGGCUACGCGUGGGCCACUUCGUGGGAUUAUGUAACGCGCUGUUGUUGUGCAAUGUCGAGGAUUAUGCGGAUUUUUGUUCGACACAGUUGGAGGGUGUCGAGAAAAACUUUAAGAAAUGAGUUUGCUAUGAAGAGUGGAGAUUUUUGAAGGAUAAAUGUGAAGUUUUGGAGUUAUGAAAUAACUUCCAUCUUAUAAUCCUUUGAAGUUAGAUUUGAUUUGUUAGGAUAAUCUUUCAAACGAUGUUUGAAAAUAUAUUUUCUUAGUUUCUCUCAACGAAACAUUGAUAGAUAUUCGUUGAUCUUUUAAGUUUAUAAUAUUUUGUUGUUUUAAAAUUUGAAGAGAAAAAUUCGCAAAAAGAAAUGACAGGAAGAGAGGAAUGAUAACCGCGGCACGAAACGUACGACUGCAAGGUGCGUUAACCUCGAAGGGAAAAAGGCGAUAAAUUAGCGGGAGCUUAUCGAUGAUCGUUGGGCGAGGGUAUAAGCUUCGGUUCAGAAGCUCCCAGCGUAUGCAGAUACGCUUCCGCUCGAACCCUUUCGGCGCGAAGGAAGCGGCAAAGAUUGUUCAUCCUACGAAAUUCAAUGUAUUACGUUCGCUUAUUUACGAGAUCCAUAAACUAGAGCGCGAGAUUCGCAUGAAAUUUGUAGCAAAGUUAAAGAACUGAGCGUAAACAGUGAAGAGGAUAUAUUAAUAAAUUUUGAAAUUGAUAUCA